GAGUUUGAUCCUGGGCUCAGAUUGAACGCUGGCGGCAGGCUUAACACAUGCAAGUCGAGCGGAGAGAGGUAGCUUGCUACUGAUCUUAGCGGUGGACGGGUGAGUAAUGCUUAGGAAUCUGCCUAUUAGUGGGGGACAACAUUUCGAAAGGAAUGCUAAUACCGCAUACGUCCUACGGGAGAAAGCAGGGGAUCUUCGGACCUUGCGCUAAUAGAUGAGCCUAAGUCGGAUUAGCUAGUUGGUGGGGUAAAGGCCUACCAAGGCGACGAUCUGUAGCGGGUCUGAGAGGAUGAUCCGCCACACUGGGACUGAGACACGGCCCAGACUCCUACGGGAGGCAGCAGUGGGGAAUAUUGGACAAUGGGCGCAAGCCUGAUCCAGCCAUGCCGCGUGUGUGAAGAAGGCCUUAUGGUUGUAAAGCACUUUAAGCGAGGAGGAGGCUACUUUAGUUAAUACCUAGAGAUAGUGGACGUUACUCGCAGAAUAAGCACCGGCUAACUCUGUGCCAGCAGCCGCGGUAAUACAGAGGGUGCAAGCGUUAAUCGGAUUUACUGGGCGUAAAGCGCGCGUAGGCGGCUAAUUAAGUCAAAUGUGAAAUCCCCGAGCUUAACUUGGGAAUUGCAUUCGAUACUGGUUAGCUAGAGUGUGGGAAAGGAUGGUAGAAUUCCAGGGUGUAGCGGUGAAAUGCGUAGAGAUCUGGAGGAAUACCGAUGGCGAAGGCAUCCAUCUGGGCCUAACACUGACGCUGAGGUGCGAAAGCAUGGGGAAGCAAACAGGAUUAGAUACCCUGGUAGUCCCAUGCCGUAAACGAUGUCUACUACCCCUUGGGGCCUUUGAGGCUUUAGUGGGCGCAGCUAACACGAUAAUAGACCGGCCUGGGGAGUACGGGUCGGCAGACUAAAACUCAAAAUGGAUUUGACGGGGGCUCGGCACAGGCGGUGGGGCAUGUGGCUGUAAUUUCAUUGCAACGCGAAAAAACCUUACCGGGCCAUGGACAUAGUAAGAAACUUUCCCAGAAAAUGAAUUGGUGCGUCGGGAAACUUCAUAACAGGUGCUACGAGUCUGUCGGUCGCAGCGU
rnacentral:rRNA from 1 species